rnacentral:tRNA from 1 species
CAAAAAUUAACAUAAUUUAAUGUAUCUCACUUACGUUGAGGAAAUAAUUUAUAAUAAAUUGUUUUUGA